AUAUUAGCAACAUUUGUGAAUUGUCUUCACAAUAGUCUUCAACAAGAUAAAAUGUCAACAGAAAGAAGAAAAUUAUUGAUGGAGCACAUCUUCAAACUACAGGAGUUUUGUAACAGCAUGGUUAAACUCUGCAUUGAUGGAUAUGAAUAUGCCUACCUGAAGGCAAUAGUACUCUUCAGUCCAGGUAUAUAAACAUUUACUUUUUAUUCAAAACAAAAUGUUUCACGAUGUGGAGAAAUAGAAGCCCUCAUAUGUUGCAAGUGGGGAUGUAAAAUGGUGCAGUUGCCUUGGAAGAGUUCAGUAGUUCUUCAAAAGGUUAAACAUGGAGUUAUCAUAUGACUCAGCAGCUUCACUCUUGUCAGCCCAAGAGAAAUGAAAAAUAUAUAUCUAUGCAAGAAUGUGUAUAUAAAUAGUCAUAGCAGCAUUAUUUAUAAUAGUCAAAAAAUGGAGACAACCCAAAUGU
rnacentral:sRNA from 1 species